rnacentral:rRNA from 1 species
UACGUAGGGGGCAAGCGUUGUCCGGAUUUAUUGGGCGUAAAGAGCUUGUAGGCGGCCAUACAGGUCCGUUGUGAAAACUGGAGGCUUAACCUCCAGACGUCGAUGGAAACCGUAUGGCUAGAGUCCGGAAGAGGAGAGUGGAAUUCCUGGUGUAGCGGUGAAAUGCGCAGAUAUCAGGAAGAACACCCGUGGCUAAGGCGGCUCUCUAGUACGGUACUGACGCUGAGACGCGAAAGCGUGGGGAGCGAACAGG